CGCUGGCGGCGUGCUUAACACAUGCAAGUCGAACGGAAAGGCCCUGCUUUUGUGGGGUGCUCGAGUGGCGAACGGGUGAGUAACACGUGAGUAACCUGCCCUUGACUUUGGGAUAACUUCAGGAAACUGGGGCUAAUACCGGAUAGGAGCUCCUGCUGCAUGGUGGGGGUUGGAAAGUUUCGGCGGUUGGGGAUGGACUCGCGGCUUAUCAGCUUGUUGGUGGGGUAGUGGCUUACCAAGGCUUUGACGGGUAGCCGGCCUGAGAGGGUGACCGGCCACAUUGGGACUGAGAUACGGCCCAGACUCCUACGGGAGGCAGCAGUGGGGAAUAUUGCACAAUGGGCGGAAGCCUGAUGCAGCAACGCCGCGUGCGGGAUGACGGCCUUCGGGUUGUAAACCGCUUUCGCCUGUGACGAAGCGUGAGUGACGGUAAUGGGUAAAGAAGCACCGGCUAACUACGUGCCAGCAGCCGCGGUGAUACGUAGGGUGCGAGCGUUGUCCGGAUUUAUUGGGCGUAAAGGGCUCGUAGGUGGUUGAUCGCGUCGGAAGUGUAAUCUUGGGGCUUAACCCUGAGCGUGCUUUCGAUACGGGUUGACUUGAGGAAGGUAGGGGAGAAUGGAAUUCCUGGUGGAGCGGUGGAAUGCGCAGAUAUCAGGAGGAACACCAGUGGCGAAGGCGGUUCUCUGGGCCUUUCCUGACGCUGAGGAGCGAAAGCGUGGGGAGCGAACAGGCUUAGAUACCCUGGUAGUCCACGCUGUAAACGGUGGGUACUAGGUGUGGGGUCCAUUCCACGGGUUCCGUGCCGUAGCUAACGCUUUAAGUACCCCGCCUGGGGAGUACGGCCGCAAGGCUAAAACUCAAAGGAAUUGACGGGGCCCCGCACAAGCGGCGGAGCAUGCGGAUUAAUUCGAUGCAACGCGUAGAACCUUACCUGGGUUUGACAUGGAUCGGGAGUGCUCAGAGAUGGGUGUGCCUCUUUUGGGGUCGGUUCACAGGUGGUGCAUGGCUGUCGUCAGCUCGUGUCGUGAGAUGUCGGGUUAAGUCCCGCAACGAGCGCAACCCUUGUUCACUGUUGCCAGCACGUUAUGGUGGGGACUCAGUGGAGACCGCCGGGGUCAACUCGGAGGAAGGUGGGGAUGACGUCAAGUCAUCAUGCCCCUUAUGUCCAGGGCUUCACGCAUGCUACAAUGGCUGGUACAGAGAGUGGCGAGCCUGUGAGGGUGAGCGAAUCUCGGAAAGCCGGUCUCAGUUCGGAUUGGGGUCUGCAACUCGACCUCAUGAAGUCGGAGUCGCUAGUAAUCGCAGAUCAGCAACGCUGCGGUGAAUACGUUCCCGGGGCUUGUACACACCGCCCGUCAAGUCAUGAAAGUUGGUAACACCCGAAGCCGGUGGCCUAACCGUUGUGGGGGAGCCGUCGAAGGUGGGACUGGUGAUUAGGA
rnacentral:rRNA from 1 species